UACAUACGAGAUCAGAAUAUAUAUGUGAAUUUUUCUCUUUCACCCUGUCCCUGAGUAUUAAUUACAUGGCACUACAGCAUGUACAAGUCCUUUAUUAAUAGCCCUUUACAAUUAAAGGAGCAGUGAAGCUCAAAAAUAAGCUGCUGUUAUAGGAAAGGUUAAAAUAUGAUAUUCUGGUUUCAUGGCUGAUUAUCCCUAAUGCUCUUAAAUAGAGAUUAUGAAAUGUAAUUUUGGUUGAGUUGUGUAUGGUAUGGAUGGUAGGGGUAAAACAAUAUUAGUCUAUACUUAUAUCUUCAAGAGACACACACACUCUCACCAUUUGGUUUUUUUUUUUUUAUGCAGCAGACACAACAUUUCCUUUAAAACAAAACAGCAUGAGUUUAUUCUAUAGAACAAGGACACCUGUUGUGGCAGAAUUACAAGUGUUAGCCUCCUCCUGCUAUCAACAUGGUGGGAUGAUGCCAAGAGUUGUACUUCUGUAGCAGUUGGAGUGGUACCUGCUGCUUAUGCCUGCUAUGGAAUCGUAUUUAUCUGAAACUGCUGAAUCACCUUCUGCUGGAAAAAAUACUGGAAGCUACAUCGGAAAAUUCUCUAACACUGAACCCCCUAGAAACAAACUAAUGGGAAGGAACACUUUUCUUUGUGCACUUCAGACCCUUGGUUUUGGUGGAUGAUUAAGUGUAAUUAUUUGUUUACAGAGAGUCUUUGCAACUUCUGCAGAAAGGGUGAGUGGGGUUACCAUGUUUUCUGUCUGCUAAUCACAAUUCCUAGAUUGAGAUUUUACACCAUCUGUACAUCUAAGAUAACUGUAAUUUCUGUCACAGUUGGAAGCUUUAGCUAAUUUUUCCUGUACAGAAAAAACUGGAAAAUAGACCAUCUUUGACUAAUUGCAUAUUAUACAAAAGUGUGAGACAACGCAAUCAAAUCCACAUUAUUGCCGCUAACAAGCACUGGAGUCUUUAGGGAAUGUUCAAGGCAUCUUGUUUGCACAGUCUUUGUUUUGUUUAUUUCCAAUUUCCCAUUUGAAGUAAGGGAAACAAUUAACUCUUUAAGUGGUGGAGCAACUUUUAGGAG